rnacentral:rRNA from 1 species
AGUGAACGCUGGCGGCAGGCCUAACACAUGCAAGUCGAGCGGCAGCGCGGGGGCAACCCUGGCGGCGAGCGGCGGACGGGUGAGGAAUGCGUCGGAAUCUGCCUCUUUGUGGGGGAUAACGUAGGGAAACUUACGCUAAUACCGCAUACGACCUACGGGUGAAAGUGGGGGACCGCAAGGCCUCACGUAGAGAGAUGAGCCGACGCCGGAUUAGCUAGUUGGCGGGGUAAAGGCCCACCAAGGCGACGAUCCGUAGCUGGUCUGAGAGGAUGAUCAGCCACACUGGAACUGAGACACGGUCCAGACUCCUACGGGAGGCAGCAGUGGGGAAUAUUGGACAAUGGGCGCAAGCCUGAUCCAGCCAUGCCGCGUGUGUGAAGAAGGCCUUCGGGUUGUAAAGCACUUUUGUCCGGAAAGAAAAGCAUUCGGUUAAUAACCGGGUGUCACGACGGUACCGUAAGAAUAAGCACCGGCUAACUACGUGCCAGCCGCCGCAGUAAAAC